rnacentral:rRNA from 1 species
GGAAUAUUGGACAAUGGGCGAAAGCCUGAUCCAGCCAUGCCGCGUGUGUGAAGAAGGCCUUUUGGUUGUAAAGCACUUUAAGCGGGGAGGAGGGCACCACGGUUAAUACCCGUGAAUGUCGGACGUUACCCGCAGAAUAAGCACCGGCUAACUCUGUGCCAGCAGCCGCGGUAAUACAGAGGGUGCGAGCGUUAAUCGGAAUUACUGGGCGUAAAGCGCGCGUAGGCGGCUUGUUAAGUCAAAUGUGAAAUCCCCGAGCUUAACUUGGGCAUUGCAUUCGAUACUGGCAAGCUAGAGUAUGGGAGAGGAAGGUAGAAUUCCAGGUGUAGCGGUGAAAUGCGUAGAGAUCUGGAGGAAUACCGAUGGCGAAGGCAGCCUUCUGGCCUAAUACUGACGCUGAGGUGCGAAAGCAUGGGGAGCAAACAGGAUUAGAUACCCCGG